GAUGAAGAACGCAGCGAAAUGCGAUAAUUAAUGUGAAUUACAGAAUUCCGUGAAUCAUCGAGUCUUUGAACGCACAUUGCGCCUCAUGGCAUUCCGUGAGGCAUGCCCAUCUCAGCGUUAGAAAAUAUUCUCAAAUUUUAGUUUUGUGCUAAAAUUUGGAUCAUGUCAAGGAAGCUAUUACUAUUAUUGUGAUCGCUCUUUGGAAAUUGAUAGGUCUUUGAGUUGCUACUCAUAGAACGUGAUGAAUCUUUCUUCGUUCUAUUGUAAUUCACUCUGGUAGUCCUAAAACUUGUAUGCCUGUGGCAUAUCUUGUAAUUUGACCUGAGAUUGGGUAGGGAUACCCGCUGAACUUAAGCAUAUCAAUAAGCGGAGGA
rnacentral:misc_RNA from 1 species